rnacentral:lncRNA from 1 species
GUUGCAGGGGGCUGAGUUGGAAGAUGACCCUAGAGAGGCAUCAGGUGGCAGGGCUCACUGCCACCAAGGCCGCAUGUCCCUUACUUGGCAGGUUGCUGCGAAAACGCGCCUCCUCUACCUUCUGCGCUGUGUAGAUUUCUGCCCUCCUCCUCCUCAGACGGCUCACACCCAGCUUUUCCAUUCAGCCUCUUCUGCUUCCAAGGUGGCCUCAGAACCGUGAACUUCCCUGCCUGCUGACUUUCUCCAGCCUGGAGCAGUGAUGUGGGAUCCUCUGAGCAUCAUGCCCUUCAGAUUCUUCAGGGUGGAGGCUCCAAAGCACUAAGAACUCUCUCUCCUUAGAUUCCUGUCUCUGCAUAACCUUACUGUGCUAUUAUGCCAGCAAGAUCCAGUCUAAUAACUCAGUUAUAUUAAAGACCUCUUUGUUGGACUGAAUGGUUCUGUGCCCACCCUAUCCCUCAAAUUCCUAUGUUGAUGCCCUAACCCCCAGUGUGAUGGUAUUUGGAGAUGGGGGCCUUCUGGCAGUAAUUAGGGCUAGAUGAGGUCAUAAAUAUGGGCCUCAUGUUGCACUUAGUAACUUCAGAAGGAGAGGAACAGUUAGAUCACUGCUUGCCCUCUCUGCCAUGUGAGGUCACAGAAAGUGACUAUCCGUGAGCCUGGAAGAGAACCCUCACCAGGAAUGGAAUCUGCAGGCACCUGGACCUUGGGCUCCCAGCCUCCAAAACCAUGAGAAAUAAAUGUCUGUUGUUUAAACCACCAAGUCUAUGGUCUUUUACUAUAGCAGCCUGAGAUUGUAAGACAUUUCCUCUCCACAAAGGAUGAGGGAAGAAGGAAAAAAGGAGUUGAAAGGUAAGGGACAAUUGAGAAAUGUCAAUUCUUGAGAAGAAUAUUGGAUGGGAAGAUGUGUGACCAUAUUGACGCUUUGCCCUUGAGUUGACACUGGAC